UGGGGAAUCUUGCCCAAUGGGCGAAAGCCUGAGGCAGCAACGCCGCGUGUGGGAUGAAGGCCCUUGGGUUGUAAACCACUUUCAGCAGGGACGAAGAUGACGGUACCUGCAGAAGAAGCCCCGGCCAACUACGUGCCAGCAGCCGCGGUAAGACGUAGGGGGCAAGCGUUGUCCGGAUUUAUUGGGCGUAAAGAGCUCGUAGGCGGCUCAGAAAGUCGGGUGUGAAACCUCCAGGCUCAACCUGGAGACGCCACCUGAUACUGCUGUGGCUAGAGUCCGGUAGGGGAGCACGGAAUUCCCGGUGUAGCGGUGAAAUGCUUAGAUAUCGGGAGGAACAACAGUGGCGAAGGCGGUGCUCUGGGCCGGAACUGACGCUGAGGAGCGAAAGCGUGGGUAGCAAACAGG
rnacentral:rRNA from 1 species